rnacentral:misc_RNA from 1 species
ACAUAAACAACCAAAAGAAACUUAGUACCUCAAAUUCAAUUGUGUACUGAAAAAUCAACUGAAGAAAAGAAACUACUUAUACGACUAAGAGUUGCCAGUACCAUUAAAAUCCUAGGCAAUAAAAUGAUGAGAAAAGAGACAAAACGAGUAGUAUGUCAAUAAAAAGAACCAGGGAAUAAACCUCAUAGGAAUCACAAUUGAAAUUCAUCAAAAUCCAUAUGAGAGUACUAAGAUUGGAAAGUUAAGAGUAAUAUAUUAUAUGAAAA